UGGAUCUCCAAGAGAUAUUGGCCAGAUGCAUUGAAUUCCACUGUUGCUAAACCAAUUAAGAUUAAAAUGGCUUUUUCCUACGGAAUGCAUCAGUCAUGCUGUUGUUGAUUACUGGUGUUUGACUGACUGGUUCGAAAAGGUAGUCUCACUUGGCCAGACUUACACACAGGCAUCGGAUGGGAACGAGACUUCUAGAAGGGUAACAAAGAGAGUACCCAGCUAGAGGACCCCCGGGCGGAGUGGAGGAAGGAGCAGGAGAGGAUGUUGAAGGAGUACCUGACAGUAGCCCAGGAUGCCCUGGUCACCCAGAAAGAGCUGUCCCAGGACGUUGCUAUUCCACCCAAAACUACGAUGGCAGUCAGUCACCAUCCCUGAAGUAUCCAUCAGCGGAGGCUGGCGAGGGGAGGACAGCUCAUAAUAAUGGCUGGAUUGAGCCAUCCUCUUCUCAGCAGCAUCCACUGGUAUCCAUUUAUCAAAUGUGACAGAAGAUAUGGAAGGAAAGUAGAAGCUUGAUUCCUGCCUCGGUCAGCAAAUCAGAUCAAAAGGUCGGGAAUGUCCCUGAUCUACCAAAUUGAGUUUGGAGAUAGUCGGAAAAAAUAAAAAGACAAAGAU